rnacentral:rRNA from 1 species
AUUGAACGCUGGCGGCAGGCUUAACACAUGCAAGUCGAGCGGGGUGAUGGUGCUUGCACUAUCACUUAGCGGCGGACGGGUGAGUAAUGCUUAGGGAUCUGCCUAUUAGUGGGGGACAACAUCUCGAAAGGGAUGCUAAUACCGCAUACGUCCUACGGGAGAAAGCAGGGGAUCACUUGUGACCUUGCGCUAAUAGAUGAGCCUAAGUCGGAUUAGCUAGUUGGUGGGGUAAAGGCCUACCAAGGCGACGCUCUGUAGCGGGUCUGAGAGGAUAGUCCACCACACUGGGACUGAGACACGGCCCAGACUCCUACGGGAGGCAGCAGUGGGGAAUAUUGGACAAUGGGGGGAACCCUGAUCCAGCCAUGCCGGGUGUGUGAAGAAGGCCUUAUGGUUGUAAAGCACUUUAAGCGAGGAGGAGGCUCUUUUGGUUAAUACCCAAGAUGAGUGGACGUUACUCGCAGAAUAAGCACCGGCUAACUCUGUGCCAGCAGCCGCCGUAA